rnacentral:lncRNA from 1 species
ACUGAUACCUGGGGCUCUGUCACCCAGUAUACACCCGGUUAUCACAGUGUAGCCACACUUGUCUCUCAUGGUUUUAUUAGCCUUUCUCCUUGCCUCACACAUUAGUGACCUGCUGCUUAGGCUCAUAAUUAACAUGUUUAUAGCAGAAGCCUAUCGCUGAACAUGGGACAGUGAAAUUCCUGCUUUUGCUGAGCAACAGCAGGUUUUCCUUCUGCACGAGGGCAAUGAACAACUUGGAGCUACAUUACUUACCAUUCGCAGCAAAUCAUUUUAAAUUGUUAAUAAUUUGAAUGUACAGUAUGUAAUGCUUUUCAUCCUAAAGAAUUCUAAAGAGUUUGAAAGCAUGUCAGAGCUUGAUAUCACUGCAAAAAGCUUUCUCAGAUUCAUCGAUUAUUGAGAAACUUUUUUAAAAUCACUGCUGUUUGUUGUUUUUUCUUUGCAGUUCCAGUUGCUUGUGUGAUAGUGGGUUUCUUUUUGGUUGUAAUACUCUGUGGAACUAGAAUUCUGAUACACAGGAAAAGAAUCUCUGGAGAGAGCAGUAUGAAAUCACCCAAAGGCAAAGACUUUGAAGCUCCAAGUAUUUCACCCCGUAAAGGGACACCAUACAAAAGUUUUUUUGAAGACAGUGUUUUAUUGAAUUCACAAUCUGCAGCACCCAGUUCACAGGGGAAAAUAUCUGUGAAUCUCAGUUCUCUGAGGAAGGGAACUCCAUUCAAAGAAAAGAUUUGUUUUGAAGACCAGAGUUUAUUGAAUGAAGAACUGAAGGAUCCCAGUUCUCCAAGAAAAGAAUCUUUUACUCCCAGUUCUCCCAGUUCUAUAAGGAAAAGGACUCCAUUUAAAAACAUUAUGAAUGAAUUAGCUGUCAAAGAGUCUUUAAGUUCCAGUACUUGCAGCCUGUCCAAAAGUCCAUCUGGGAAGAAGACCAAUUCUAAAAGAAGUCCAUCGGGGAAGAAAGCCAGUUCUAAACGUUUGGAUUUUCUAAAGGAAGAGACACCGUUCAACAUCUGAAGACAACUAAAAUAGAUUACCUUAAUCAGCAGCUGAGAGGGAACAAAAGCUUAACUUUGUCUGAUCGGAUAGCUUGCAUUGCAGCGGAGAAUGGCACUUUGUUUCUGGUGACACAUUACUUCUUCUUGUAAAAAAAAUAUUUCCACCUUUGAGUCUGGCUUCUAUGCAUGUUAAUGUGCUAAUGUACUCUAUCUUGUGAUUAUCGUUGUUUAAAAAAUAAGUCAAACCCAAGAUGAAUGAGGUGCUUUCCAUUGAAAAUCAAUGGAUGCAAACAGGAUCUCAACUCCAUUGUAAUUUAUUCAACUGUGAAUGUUUCUACACAGAAAGUCUUUGUCAAGACAGAGCUUUGUAAAUUAUAAUGGGAACUGAGAGUGUGUUUUCUAUGUUGUUUUUUUUAUUGAUUAUGUCUUUGUUUAAAUGUUUAAAUGAUGGUGUUUUCUUAAAUGGGCUCAAAUGUGUCAUUUCUGUCACAUUCUUCUACCUAGAUCUUGAAGGACAGUUUAAAAAAAUGAUUAUGCACUACAGCCUAUGACAAUGUAAUACUUUUAUUUCUUUGUAAUUUAUGUUCAGCUAUGUAUAUAUUUUUUAUCUCAAAACUAAUUAAAGUUACAGAGUCUGGAGGAACAGGAAUG